rnacentral:siRNA from 1 species
UACCCGGGCGCCUUCAUUAGG